GAUCAAAAAGCAAAUUGGUCUUUUUUAUUGUUAAAAACUGGUGUGGCUGAUAAAAUAACCAGAUAAUUAUACAUGGUGUGCCACGUACACCUCAUUCUGGCAUACAAUGACCAAUUUUCAACAGUAAAAAUGAAUGGAAUUUUUAACA
rfam:Gossypium hirsutum cultivar TM-1 chromosome 10, whole genome shotgun sequence